rnacentral:lncRNA from 12 species
CUGGUCUCUUGCAUGCGUUUAUUUGCACAUUUUCUCUCUGUUGUAUAAUUUCAGAGAUAGUUGUGUCCUCCAUGAGUCGUAGAAGCCACAGUUUUGUGGUCUCCAGUUGCUAUAGGACUUGUGAAAGCUGGCAGCCAGGUGGAAUGCAGCUUUCAUUCACAGAGCUCGGGAUAUAUCUCCUGUCCUGCCAAUUCUGGGCUGGUUCUUAAUGUCCACCUGCCCAAGGACAAAUCUGCAGACAUGAUAAAGAGCAAUUGCAUUUUCCAGGAAGCUGAAAUCUGUUAUUCCAGUGGAUACUCAUCUGGAUUUUUAUUACUUUUUUUUUGUGUGUGUGUCUAGAUAGAUAAAAAGAGGAUCAUCCUACAUAGUUGGGGUACAAGCGAUAUGCUUUGUAGACUGCUUGCAUUUGCCCAUUCCAGACUUGAUGAAGAAAGAUAAGAAACUUUGCUAAGCUGCUGCAAAUCAUCCCCUGUAUAUACCCUGCAGACGUCAUAGUCCUGUCUUACCUUCCCUCUCCCCAGAGAGCAGCCAUCUCCUGGAUCACCACCCUUUGUGUAUGGCUGUAUGUGACUUAAGUCUGGACCACUGAACAGGCUGGCAUGGUUUGGAAAAGCCUGUGUUAUGUAACAGUCUUCAUAUUGGCAGCUCUGCAGAAGAACCUGGCAAAGCCCAUGAAGAUGAUGCUGUCUGUUAUUGGAGUCAGUAGCUCCAAGGAAGAUGGCAAUAUUCCAGGUUCCAUAAAGGCAUAAAGAUUAUACCUCACUUUAAAAACCCUUUCUUGCAACUGGCAAGCUCUCCCUUGUUUGUCUUUCCUUUCUUUUUUUUUUCCCUUUUCCUUUUAGAACUUUUAAAAUUAUUUAUCCUUUUAUUUCUUUUUAUUUUUUUAAUAAAUUUUUUCUAAGUUUGUUGUGCACUUAGUUUUGCACCUUUGUAUAUGUCUAUAAC